AACGAACGCUGGCGGCAGGCCUAACACAUGCAAGUCGAGCGAAGCCUUCGGGCUUAGCGGCGGACGGGUGAGUAACGCGUGGGAACGUGCCCUUUGGUACGGAAUAGCCCCGGGAAACUGGGAGUAAUACCGUAUGUGCCCUUCGGGGGAAAGAUUUAUCGCCAAAGGAUCGGCCCGCGUUGGAUUAGGUAGUUGGUGGGGUAAUGGCCUACCAAGCCGACGCUCCAUAGCUGGUUUGAGAGGAUGAUCAGCCACACUGGGACUGAGACACGGCCCAGAAUCCUACGGGAGGCAGCAGUGGGGAAUCUUAGACAAAGGGGGAAACCCUGAUCUAGCCAUGCCGCGUGAUAGAUGAAGGCCUUAGGGUUGUAAAGAUCUUUCAGUGGGGAAGAUAAUGACUGUACCCACAGAAGAAGCCCCGGCUAACUCCGUGCCAGCAGCCGCGGUAAAAC
rnacentral:rRNA from 1 species